CCGUAAGGUGACCUGCGGUAGGUCAUUACCGAAGAGGCAGGCCCCUCGGGGCCCAACCUCCCACCCGUGUUGCCCGAACCUAUGUUGCCUCGGCGGGCCCCGCGCCCGCCGACGGCCCCCCUGAACGCUGUCUGAAGUUGCAGUCUGAGACCUAUAACGAAAUUAGUUUAAAACUUUCAACAACGGAUCUCUUGGUUCCGGCAUCGAUGAAGAACGCAGCGAAAUGCGAUAACUAAUGUGAAUUGCAGAAUUCAGUGAAUCAUCGAGUCUUUGAACGCACAUUGCGCCCUCUGGUAUUCCGGAGGGCAUGCCUGUCCGAGCGUCAUUGCUGCCCUCAAGCCCGGCUUGUGUGUUGGGCCCCGUCCCCCCCGCCGGGGGGACGGGCCCGAAAGGCAGCGGCGGCACCGCGUCCGGUCCUCGAGCGUAUGGGGCUUCGUCACCCGCUCUAGUAGGCCCGGCCGGCGCCAGCCGAC
rnacentral:rRNA from 1 species